CCUACGGGGGGCAGCAGUGGGGAAUAUUGGACAAUGGGGGCAACCCUGAUCCAGCCAUGCCGCGUGUGUGAAGAAGGCCCUCGGGUUGUAAAGCACUUUCAGUGAGGAAGAACGCCUGGUGGUUAAUACCCAUCAGGAAAGACAUCACUCACAGAAGAAGCACCGGCUAACUCCGUGCCAGCAGCCGCGGUAAUACGGAGGGUGCGAGCGUUAAUCGGAAUUACUGGGCGUAAAGCGCGCGUAGGUGGCUUGAUAAGCCGGUUGUGAAAGCCCCGGGCUCAACCUGGGAACGGCAGCCGGAACUGUCAAGCUAGAGUGCAGGAGAGGAUGGUAGAAUUCCCGGUGUAGCGGUGAAAUGCGUAGAGAUCGGGAGGAAUACCAGUGGCGAAGGCGGCCUUCUGGACUGACACUGACACUGAGGUGCGAAAGCGUGGGUAGCAAACAGGAUUAGAUACCCGAGUAGUC
rnacentral:rRNA from 1 species